AGAAAGGAGGAGAGAGGAAACCUAAAACCUAAAAAAUGCAGCGAUUAGUGAAAGCUCCUUAACCUAACUGGUUUCAUUAGGAAAAUGCUACAGAGGAUGAGAGGUGUCACAGCUGAAGAUACUCAGGCUACAGGAGGCGCUACAGUAGCUAGCACACAAGAGAGGAGGAGAAGGAGCCAGGGUGAGGGAGUUGGAUCCUAGUGUUACCGCUGGCAUCAUGUUACACCUACAGGUUUGAGCUGAAUCAGAGGAAGACAGAGCACUUCUAUCUUAUCACGAUCACUUUGGAGAGAUGUAUGAAACUCAAGGACAUUAAAGAUUUUUCCAGAGCGAUACAAGGGAGUAAAUGUCAUUUGGUCUUAUCUUUGAAAAAUCAUAUAAAUGAGAACUGAUUGAUUGCUCCAUAUGUGUGGCAGACUAUUAAAAUAC